rnacentral:rRNA from 1 species
GAUGAACGCUGGCGGCGUGCCUAAUACAUGCCAGUCGAGCGAACAGAUGAGGAGCUUGCUCCUCUGACGUUAGCGGCGGACGGGUGAGUAACACGUGGAUAACCUACCUAUAAGACUGGGAUAACUUCGGGAAACCGGAGCUAAUACCGGAUAAUAUAUUGAACCGCAUGGUUCAAUAGUGAAAGACGGUUUUGCUGUCCCUUAUAGAUGGAUCCGCGCCGCAUUAGCUAGUUGGUAAGGUAACGGCUUACCAAGGCAACGAUGCGUAGCCGACCUGAGAGGGUGAUCGGCCACACUGGAACUGAGACACGGUCCAGACUCCUACGGGAGGCAGCAGUAGGGAAUCUUCCGCAAUGGGCGAAAGCCUGACGGAGCAACGCCGCGUGAGUGAUGAAGGUCUUCGGAUCGUAAAACUCUGUUAUUAGGGAAGAACAAAUGUGUAAGUAACUAUGCACGUCUUGACGGUACCUAAUCAGAAAGCCACGGCUAACUACGUG